AGAGUUUGAUCAUGGCUCAGAAUGAACGUUGGCGGCGUGGAUUAGGCAUGCAAGUCGAGCGAGUCUACUUAGUAGCAAUAUUGAGUAAGUCGAGCGGCGUAAGGGGCAGUAAUACCUGGGAACGUACCCUGAGGUCGGGGAUAGCUGCUAGAAAUGGCGAGUAAUACCCGAUGAUCUCGAGAGAGCAAAGGCUUGCCGCCUUCGGAGCGGCCCAGGCGAUAUUAGCUAGUUGGUGGGGUAACGGCCUACCAAGGCUUAGAUGUCUAGCGGGUGUGAGAGCACGACCCGCGCCACUGGCACUGAGACACUGGCCAGACACCUACGGGUGGCUGCAGUCGAGAAUCUUCGGCAAUGAGCGCAAGCUUGACCGAGCGACGCCGCGUGCGGGAUGAAGGCCUUCGGGUUGUAAACCGCUUUGGUCCGAAAGAAAGGGUAAAACUUGAUCGAUCGGAGAAACAAGGACGGGCUAAGUUCGUGCCAGCAGCCGCGGUAAGACGAACCGUCCAAACGUUAUUCGGAAUCACUGGGCUUAAAGGGCGCGUAGGCGGCCGAGCGGGUCACGGGUGAAAUCCUCCAGCUUAACUGGAGAACUGCCCUUGAUACCACUGCGGCUCGAGGAAGGAAGGGGUCAUGGGAACUGUCGGUGGAGCGGUGAAAUGCGUUGAUAUCGACAGGAACGCCGGUGGCGAAAGCGCAUGACUGGUCCUUUUCUGACGCUGAGGCGCGAAAGCCAGGGGAGCAAACGGGAUUAGAUACCCUAGUAGUCC
rnacentral:rRNA from 1 species